GGGCUGCAGCAAGGAAUAUUGUGCAAUGGGCGAAAGCCUGACACAGCGACGUCGCGUGGGGGAUGAAGGCCUUCGGGUUGUAAACCCCUUUUCUCAGGGAAGAACAAUGACGGUACCUGAGGAAUAAGUCUCGGCUAACUACGUGCCAGCAGCCGCGGUAAUACGUAGGAGGCAAGCGUUAUCCGGAUUUAUUGGGCGUAAAGCGCGUGUAGGUGGCUUUUCAAGUCGGAUGUAAAAUCUCCCGGCUCAACUGGGAGAGCCCAUUCGAUACUGCUGGGCUAGAGUGCAGCAGAGGGAGGUGGAAUUCCCGGUGUAGUGGUGAAAUGCGUAGAUAUCGGGAGGAACACCAGUGGCGAAGGCGGCCUCCUGGGCUGUAACUGACACUGAGACGCAAAAGCGUGGGGAGCGAACAGGAUUAGAUACCCGGGUAGUC
rnacentral:rRNA from 1 species